UUCAUGACAAAGUGGCCCUUUCCCAACCUCCGAGCCAGCUUUCUGUGUUAGAAGAAAAUGUGAGAAACUGGAGGGGAGGCAGAGGAAAUUUUUAUCAUCGGAUUUGUGCAAGCAGCAAAGAGGUUGUCUGAACCUGAAAACAAGGAGGAUCAAACAAGGAGGGAGUUGGUGAGUUGGCUUAGCAACCAGUACAAGCUCCGGGGGAUGGCGAGAGAAAGACUUGUUUCUUCAGGGAGACACCCUGCACCGUUAGGCACCUACUGCAUACAGCCCUGCCCUCUGGAGGAGGCUGGUGCCCUCCUGAGAUGGGUACCUGCAGGAAGCUGGAGGCCAGGCCGCCCCCGUCACUCUCCCAGCAGGUGGAGGCCCAUCCUGCCUGUCCUCAGAGAGGAGCAACUGCAGAGGAAUUUCCUCUGAUAAUACUCACAGAUUCUU